UACGAGGGGUGCAAGCGUUAUUCGGAUUUAUUGGGCGUAAAGGGUGUGUAGACGGUUUAUUAAGUCACUUGUUAAAUUCUUUGGCCUAACUGAAGGUGUGCAAGUGAUACUGAUGAGCUAGAGGGUGGAAGAGAGAAGUGGAAUUCUCGGAGUAGCGGUAAAAUGCGUAGAUCUCGAGAGGAACACCAAUGGCGAAGGCAGCUUCUUGGUCCAUUUCUGACGUUCAUACACGAAAGCGUGGGGAGCAAACAGG
rnacentral:rRNA from 1 species